UUGACAUAAUAGAACGGAUUUGUCAUAAUAGCAUUUUAGUCUCCAAUACACAUUACCAUCAGUGCCUAAAAAGAAAGGCUCUGUCCUAACAGCUUCAGAUCUUUGAUUAUCUAUAGAUAAAAAGAAAACAGUCAGAAUAUAUAUAUAUAUAUUUGAAAUUCCAAUAGACCAGGAAUCAUCAACAAACAAGCAUUUCGCAUAUCUCAUACAGAAAUUUCAUUUAUGAAUAAAGUGAAAGCCUGGAUGGAGAAAUAGCAACAUAUGUUAAUAUAAUUUUGCUUUGUUUCACUUUACAUGAUUGAUUUUGGUGUUAUUGAUCUUCUCUUUAUCCUCUCUGGUCGCAUGGUGCAGGUGUUUGAUGGUUGUGAAAAAGUAGAAGUUUCCAUCUUUUCACUAGCC
rnacentral:lncRNA from 1 species